GGAAGAGGUAAUUCCCUGAGAGACCAGCAGGAGGCGCCGCAGGGGCCCUGAUUUUGCUCUUGCUUGAACCAGCUGCAAAUCAAGAGAAGCUCCACAGAAGUGACUGGAGGUCAAAGCUUGCUCAGCAGAAUUGGAGACCAUCUGCAGCAGAGAACACAUUUGUGAAUUCAGGAAAUGGAAAUAUGAACAAUAAAGUCUUGUUAAAAUAGG